UACGUAGGUGGCAAGCGUUGUCCGGAUUUACUGGGCGUAAAGAGCGCGCAGGCGGUCGUUCAAGUCGCGUGUGAAAGCCCCCGGCUCAACUGGGGAGGGUCACGCGAUACUGGUCGACUCGAAGGCAGGAGAGGGUAGUGGAAUUCCCGGUGUAGUGGUGAAAUGCGUAGAUAUCGGGAGGAACACCAGUGGCGAAGGCGGCUACCUGGACCGGUACUGACGCUGAUGCGCGAAAGCGUGGGUAGCAAACAGG
rnacentral:rRNA from 1 species